UUGAUAUUCCGUGUUUGUAGUUUACUGGCGGACAGCUUGUUCAACACUGGACAUUGAACGUAGUUGAAGUGCGGCCUUUUAUACAUACGUGAUCGGCGGUGAGAUGCCCGUGUAUGCCGGCAGCCACAAGAUCGAAACCACCGUAACUAGUGUUCUGAAACUGCGAAUAUUGAAAUUUGUUUCCUGAACAAGAUUUGCGCAAGCGAAGACAACAGAAGCUGCGUUAUGCCAAGAUAUUUCAUUACACGUAAAAGAGACUUGCAUGCCGGACAACCUGUUAAGCCAAAUGGUUGCCCCCAUACUCUUUCAAAAUGCUACUUGCAUGACCUUAGUUUGAUCUCCAAAAUUCGGUCGAUUAAUGUUCCAAUGGGAUUGAAACUGCAUCCGCCGGAAGGAUUUUCGUCUUUAUUCCAAGGAAAAAUACGGAAAUCCUGUCUCAUUAUAUUCCUACCGAUAGUGUCCUAUACGUACCACUUACAGUAUCAAGUUGAACAGUUCAGCAGCAAGUUACCCGGAUCUCUUUGAUCUUUCUCGAGUUAAUCCCCAGCAGCA